rnacentral:rRNA from 1 species
UACGAAGGGGGGCUAGCGUUGCUCGGAAUUAUUGGGCGUAAAGCGCACGUAGGCGGUUCGUUAAGUCGGAUGUGAAAGCCCUCGGCUCAACUGAGGAAGUGCACCCGAAACUGGCGAGCUUGAGUACGAAAGAGGAUCGCGGAAUUCCCGGUGUAGAGGUGAAAUUCGUAGAUAUCGGGAGGAACACCGGUGGCGAAGGCGGCGAUCUGGGUCGAUACUGACGCUGAGGUGCGAAAGCGUGGGGAGCAAACAGG